GAGUUUGAUCCUGGCUCAGAACGAACGCUGGCGGCAGGCCUAACACAUGCAAGUCGCAGGGGAAGCCAUCCUUCGGGGUGGUGGAGACUGGCGCACGGGUGAGUAACGCGUGGGUAUCUGCCCUGGGGUGGGGGAUAACCGCUGGAAACGGCGGCUAAUACCGCAUACGCCCUUUGGGGGAAAGCCUUUGAGGCGCUCUGGGAGGAGCCCGCGUCCGAUUAGCUUGUUGGUGGGGUAACGGCCCACCAAGGCGUCGAUCGGUAGCCGGUCUGAGAGGAUGAUCAGCCACACUGGGACUGAGACACGGCCCAGACUCCUACGGGAGGCAGCAGUGGGGAAUAUUGGACAAUGGGCGCAAGCCUGAUCCAGCCAUGCCGCGUGAGUGAAGAAGGCCUUAGGGUUGUAAAGCUCUUUCACCCGUGAAGAUGAUGACGGUAGCGGGAGAAGAAGCCCCGGCUAACUCCGUGCCAGCAGCCGCGGUAAUACGGAGGGGGCGAGCGUUGUUCGGAAUUACU
rnacentral:rRNA from 1 species